CAGAGAAUGUCCCCCUUUAAUAGAAACCUCGCAGAAGACUGUCACCUCCAAUGAUUUCAGCUUCACUGUGGUGCGUACAGAUACUAGUGGUACUAAUACAUCAAUGUAAUCCAUAUUCUGAGUUAACAUCAUGGACUGAGCCUAUUACAAAUGGUAGAAUCUCUGGGAGAAUACUGCUAUCGGGUAAAGGAUCCAGACUGCAGCAGAGCCAUAGGCAGGAAAUAUGGAAACCGACCGUCAUCCUCCAGAAGUCAGGAAACAAUCCAGAUUGUUUAGAAGGUCC